rnacentral:rRNA from 1 species
AUUGGAUUGAGAACAACGUACAAACCUUAUCGAUAAACAAUUGGAGGGCAAGUCUGGUGCCAGCAGCCGCGGUAAUUCCAGCUCCAAUAGCGUAUAUUAACGUUGUUGCAGUUAAAAAGCUCGUAGUUGAAAUGAAGGGUAGUUGUGUAAUGAAUACAUUCGUGUAUUUUGUUAUUCUACUACCCUCCUUCUAAAUUCGAUAUAUGAGUAUUAAUUUACUUGUAUAUGGUUUUAGACUUUUACUGUGAGAAAAUUAGAGUGUUCAAAGCAGGCAUUUGCUUGAAUAUAUUAGCAUGGAAUAAUCAUGUAUGAUUUUCAUGAUGUAUUUGAUUGGUUUGGUUCAUGAGAAUAAGAUUAAAAGGGACAGUUGGGGGUAUUCAUAUUCAAUAGUCAGAGGUGAAAUUCUCGGAUUUAUGGAAGAUGAACA